UUUACAUCCACUCCUGACCCUCAGACCUGUGAGCUGUGAAUCGGGGAUUUCCUCCAACCACAGUGUUUGAUCAAGUACACAAGAUAUUCACCACUGCACGUGCCAGAUGGGCUUGCCAGAUGAUAGCCUCACAGCAGCAAUCUGAGCAUGUUUCCGAGGACCAGGCUGAGUAACCUAGGAUACAGAGCACAGUACCCUGAAAAGCACCUAGGGCAAGCACAAUGGAAAGCAGGGCUAGAAAACAAGCACCGCCAAGAAAUAAAUAGCAGAGAACGG